rnacentral:rRNA from 1 species
UACGUAGGGGGGCGAGCGUUGUCCGGAGUUACUGGGCGUAAAGGGCAUGCAGGCGGUCGGACGCGUUUCGGGUGACAGCGGGUGGCUUAACUACCCCGAGUGGUCGAAAGACGGUUUUGACUUGAGGACGCGAGAGGGACACGGAAAUUCCGGGUGGAGUGGUGAAAAUGCGUAGAGAUCCGGAGGAACACCGAAGGCGAAGGCAGCCUUCUGGGCCAACACUGACGCUCAUGCACGAAAAGCGUGGGGGAGCAAAACAGG